rnacentral:rRNA from 1 species
AGGACGAACGCUGGCGGCGUGCUUAACACAUGCAAGUCGAGGGGUCUCCGCAAGGAGGCACCGGCGAACGGGUGCGUAACACGUGAGCGACCUGCCGUACCUGUGGGGGAUAGCCGGCCCAACGGCCGGGUAAUACCGCAUACGCUCGUUUUGGGGCAUCCCGAGGCGAAGAAAGCUCGUAAGAGCGCAGGACGAGGGGCUCGCGGCCUAUCAGCUAGUUGGCGGGGUAAUGGCCCACCAAGGCGACGACGGGUAGC